GGCUUGAUGGCGAAACUUGGUAUACGCACAACACUUAAAAUGUUGCGUUCCGGAAGGAACUUGGGGGUUCGAUUCCCCUUCGAGCCA
rnacentral:tRNA from 1 species